rnacentral:rRNA from 1 species
AAUGGGCGCAAGCCUGAUGCAGCCAUGCCGCGUGUAUGAAGAAGGCCUUCGGGUUGUAAAGUACUUUCAGCGGGGAGGAAGGGAGUAAAGUUAAUACCUUUGCUCAUUGACGUUACCCGCUGAAAAAGCACCGGCUAACUCCGUGCCAGCAGCCGCGGUAAUACGGAGGGUGCAAGCGUUAAUCGGAAUUACUGGGCGUAAAGCGCACGCAGGCGGUUUGUUAAGUCAGAUGUGAAAUCCCCGGGCUCAACCUGGGAACUGCAUCUGAUACUGGCGAGCUUGAGUCUCGUAGAGGGGGGUAGAAUUCCAGGUGUAGCGGUGAAAUGCGUAGAGAUCUGGAGGAAUACCGGUGGCGAAGGCGGCCCCCUGGACGA